AUCUCUCCCCCCACUUCGACUCUUUCGAGGCCCCUCCGGUCUCCCCCCACCCAUUCCUCGGGACCUCAACAUGGCGCCUCUCCUUGCUGAUUGUGGCGGCCAAUAACCUGAUUCGGGGGUUUCUCCGGAGGAGGAUAAGUCGGUCUCUUUGUUCUCUGUUUGUUCCUCCUCUCUUGCGGGAUUUCUCUUUUCUUGGGAGUUUUCGCUUGCAAUUUUGGUUCUUGCAAGCUCGUUUGAUUGCUAUCUGUUAAAUAUGUUGGUGGAAUUCAUGGAAAAAUUCCUUUUUCCGAUGGGUAUUGGACGAGUCCAGCUCAAUUUUGGAAUUUUCUUUCAUGUUCUUUGCCACCACUCUGAUGUGAGAAGGGUUCUCGUGACCUUACGGCAAUCUAGAUUUUCGUGUGAGGCAAUAGUGGAAGAAGCACCAUUUUUUUCAUGAAAGCAUCUUAUUUUCAAACCCCCCUUUAGGAAAUGUAGAUGCACUGGCUGUGAAAUACAAUCUGUUCGUGUGUGCUUCGAAUUUUCUGUCAAGAACUGUAUCCCAAACUUUUUCUUGGCAAUGUGCAUCUAGUUCACUUCUCAAAUGGGUUCCUUAUGCUACUUAGAUCUCCGAAUCUUACAAAUCAGGGUCAUAUCCCUGGUUUUUACUUGUUUCUAAAGUCGCGUAUUUUGUUCAAGUGCUCGAGUUUGCCAAUGCUCAGUAUUGCGGCUAAUCACUGGCCAGUCGUCACUCUUCUUUCAAUUUGAUUUAAGUCUUUUGAUUCCUCGAGUUUUCUUUGGUUAUUCCUUUUAUCUUGUUUUCAGACUCAUCCUGUUUCAUCCCGCAAAUGAGGACUUCCUCUCGUAAGCUGGCAAGAUCUGAUUGUUUUAAUGUGAUGACAUGCACUUUUCUUGCUUCUUAGCUCAAGAAAUUCGAUGACAUGUUCUUUGAAUUUUUUUCUUCCUGAAAUGCCUCAUUUCUUGAUGAAUUGCACCAACAUUUUGGCAUUAAUUCUUCAUCGUAGUUUCAGUCUGAAAAGCAUUCUUCUUUAAGUGAGGUUUUAUCAUGGUAUGAUUAUGUCUUCCUUGUUUUCUUAGGUUUCCUUUGCUCUUGGCAAUAUUAGUUGCCGCUCUUGCAUUCAAGUGAUAAUAACACAAGCCUGGAGAAAUUUGUUGAUGAUUCUUCUCAUUAGAUCUCUGUCAGAAUACUUUAAAUCGCAUAAAAUUUUCCCUCUUUAUUCUUCAUCUGAAGAAAUAUGAGGUCAGGUUCGAAGAAGGGUUGAAAUUCCCUCAUGCUUCUUUGGCUAGACAGGAGAUCUUGCAGCCAUUUUUGUAUGUUUCCAAAGGUUUGGUCUGCCAGCCAUACACCAGGAAAUGCACUAGUUUAUCUGAAUGUAUAUGACUUGCCACCAAUGAAUGGUUUUAUGUACUGGGCAGGCCUUGGGAUAUUUCACACCGGUGUUGAAGGUAUUCUUUGCUGUUGCCUUUUUGGUUUAGAUAAAGGAUGCAUUAAAUAGAUACAUCAAUGGUAAGACAUCAUUUUAAUGUGCUUCUCUAUGCUGAAUUUGUUGUUUGAAACAUGAAUGGUGAAAAUUCUUGCAACCAAAUAUGUCAUCUAUCCACCUGCAUAGAUUUUUGUUUAACUAGUUCCUGGAUUUCUUUUUUGGACAUGAAAAUUUAUUAAGAAAAAUUCAUACUUAAUCCAAAUCCUAAUAGUUGUCAGGCAAGUUGAUGCUUCGGUACUUCUGUACAUUCCUUACAUGCUGGUUGGAUUGCUGCCUCCAAGUCAAUAUUUUCAUGGGGUGGAAUAUGUAUUUGGAGCACAUGACUAUCCGAGUAGCGGAGUCUUUGAGGUUGAGCCUCGUCAGUGUCCAGGCUUCAUGUUUAAGAAAUCAAUAUUCAUGGGUACGACAUGCUUGGACUCAUUGCAGGUUAGAGAGUUUAUGGAACUUCAGUCCGUUAAUUACAGUGGAGACACCUACCACUUGAUCAUGAAGAACUGCAACCAUUUCUGCAAAGAAAUCUGUCAUAAGAUGACCGGUAACUCCGAUUCCAAAAUGGGUGAACCAACUUGUAUGCUUCUUUUUGUUUAAAGCAUGAACAACUGUAGUUUCUGGAAGAAUUGUAUUCUGGUGAUCAUGAAGUAGUUCUGCAGUUUUCCUGCAUCUGAUGUUCCUGUUGCACAACUCAAAAUAUUGAUAACCACUUCAUGACUAUAUUUUUUUACAUCAAUGAUAUUAUCAUAAAAAAAAGUAUUAGAAGCCACUUCAAAUAUAGAGAGGAAAAUGUUGAUCCGAUCAUUAUUGUUUCAGUUUCUUGCCAAUGUAUUUAUAGCAAGGUCUGAAAUAUCGGUGCUUGUUCUGUAACCUAGAGUUCAGAUUUAUGGUUGGCUUGACCUUCAUAUAUUUUUGGAUGCACGUGGGAGAUUUUAAAAUUACCAAGUUUUGUAAGAAUAGAAUAACUGGAUUCUAUUGGGUGCUGGGACACUAGGCAAUUAUCUCUAGAUACAUCUUUAGAGAAAUUUAUUCUCUUGAAUGUUAAUCUCUGGUGAUGAAGAAGAUGGACAUGUGUUAAGAUUUGUUUGGUCUUACUUAGCAUUUGUUCUAUUAGUUCUCUUUCUUCUUGAUUGCAAUUUGGUAGACAUCGAGUCAGAUGAUUGCCAGCAAGUAUUUGAAUGCAUUAUGAAACAUGAACAAUGUACAUUAGUUCUCUUUCUUUUUUAUUUUGGUUAUGGUGUCUUCUAGUUAAAUGUUAUGGAGAAGCAAAUUUUGAUUGUCUGUAUGGAUUGAGCUUCAACCUCCUCCCUAAGGGCACUGUUCACCGGCAUUAUAACCAAGAUGAGUGAAAUAUCCUUUUCCAUUUGUUUGUGGCAAGCAGUGUAUCACUUCAACUUUGAUCAUUUUGUGUAGUUUUUUCUUAUUCUAAUUUGGCUAUUGAUCUUCCUGGACAUAUCAAAUGCUAUGGCAAUAUGCUUCUCUGCAGGUUCCCUUUGCAAAUGCUGACUGCCUGAUAACUGCUGUUCAGCAUGACCCAGAUUUCCAAUCCGAGGAUGGAGAGAGGAGGCAGCUGAGAACUGCUUUCAGUUGUCUAUCCUCGAUUUCUAUGUGCCAGAGGCAGUUCACUAUUUCUUCUCUUUUCUUGACAUCUCGUUUUAGAGGGUGCCUUUCACACUGGGAGUUAAGAAGGUCUAAUGUCAUUCCUUUGUAGGAAACCUGAAAAUAUCAUCAUCUGUUGACCGAGAAAGGUGUUGAUCGAGAAAGGAGUUACAGUUCUGAGCUCCUUUUUUUUUUUUGGUGGAAAAGCUUGUCACGAGUGUUGACCAUAAUAUAGGAAGAUGGAUGUGAUGUGAGCUUUGGCCUUGUUACAUAAGUUCAUCAUCAAUGAGAAUUCUGCGGCAGAAUGUUCGUUUGAUGUCAAUACUAAAUGAAGGUAUGAUGCUUUCUGUUAUUUGUUAGGUUGCACAUUUGAACAGAGACUUCUGUAGCUUACAUUAGCUGAGAUUUCUUGUAUUAUCUUGUCACUACAAUGCCCAAAUUUUGGGUACUGCAUACCUCCCUUUUCUCUGAAAUACUAAAGCUUGAUUAGCUUUCAUGUUGUAUUACUAACAAUUUAUUCAUUGCUUAAUAUUUAUUAAUUCUUCAAAAAUACUGAACUUCAAUAAAUUGAAAUCAUGAAUGGUUCCUGUCAUUUGCUUGAGUUGUGGCACGACAAAUGGGGAUUAAGAUGAUGAAUUUCUGACUUAUGCAAUAUGUUGAUGAAAAAUAAGAUACAAGUAUUCUGUGUUGCGAAAAUAGGUCAGGAUCUUUGUAGAUGUCAGUACUGAACAAGCAAAAUGCUCUGACUUAGUACACUUCUGCAAGGACAAGUCAAGAUGCCAUUGAAUCUGUUGAUCUAUUCACUCUUGCUGUGUUACCAUUCCAUAUGUUGAUUCAUUUUUGGAGAGCUGUUUCGAAGAAUAUGCUUGAUGAAUUUUAUAGCAUUUUUUAAUAAUCUUUUCCAGCUCUAUGACAUAAUCUGAAUUUCUUGCAACGGCGAGGAUAUCAUCUUUUAACUUCUGACGACACUUUAUUGCACCAAUCUGUUGUUUCCAUUAUGUUAUUUUUAUUCUUUCUGAUUAUCCUGAAGUUAUGACAUUCGAUAUCAUCUGCUUGCACUUAGCUCUUUAGGUAGUCACCUCUUUAUCGCUUGGUUUGUAGGAUUUUCGUUCUCUCUGUUCAUUUUAUCAAUUGAAUUUAUAGCUUUUUCAGCAUUUGGCAGUAAGCAAUCUGUCAUUUUAAACAUGAUUCUAUUUUAAUUUAUGAGGGUUUUUUG